UACGUAGGGUGCAAGCGUUGUCCGGAAUUAUUGGGCGUAAAGAGCUCGUAGGCGGUUUGUCGCGUCUGCUGUGAAAACGCGAGGCUCAACCUCGCGCCUGCAGUGGGUACGGGCAGACUAGAGUGCGGUAGGGGAGAUUGGAAUUCCUGGUGUAGCGGUGGAAUGCGCAGAUAUCAGGAGGAACACCGAUGGCGAAGGCAGAUCUCUGGGCUGUAACUG
rnacentral:rRNA from 1 species